AAGUCGUAACAAGGUCUCCGUAGGUGAACCUGCGGAGGGAUCAUUACCGAGUGAGGGCCUUCGGGCUCGACCUCCAACCCUUUGUGAACACAACUUGUUGCUUCGGGGGCGACCCUGCCGUUCCGACGGCGAGCGCCCCCGGAGGCCUUCCAACACUGCAUCUUUGCGUCGGAGUUUAAGUAAAUUUAAACAAAA
rnacentral:misc_RNA from 1 species